GUUAUAGCUCUGCAGAGGUGGCCUAUCUAAUUAAGUUAGCUAACAUAGUUAAACUAAUUAGCGUUGGAAAUACCGCUGGUAUGUUCAGAUGAAUUUGAAAUGCAUUUAACGUUGUCCAUAGAUGCACAGAACAGUGUUGCGGCAUGAGAAGAUUGCCCUUCAGAGCUCGUUAAAAACAAGGAUAUCCCAUCGCAAAGAGACAGCUUGGACUGUGGAGUGUUCAUGCUGAUGUCUGCACUAUACAUUACUUUUGAGUGGCCAUUUGAUUUCAGCCAGACAGACAUGCCUUACAUUCGUGAGUGCUGGCUGAACCUAGUAUUAAAAUGCAUGAGACAUAAAAGGGAAGCCUCAAGGAGCAUCACGUGGACUACAUGUAUGGUUGUUCCAAGGACCAUGGGAUUAUUGUGUUGCCAGCAUCUGUUCUGGAGGACAUUUUUAUUGAAGUGGUUCUCCAGGAGGGUGAUGAGGCAAUUCUGACGCUGGCCCUGGUGUGCACUCGUUUCAGAGACCUUGUGACACGGGAAGCCUUCAGGAGACGAGCCCAUUUUCUUUGGCUUGACAAUGUCAUAAAUUGGAGUGCUUUCUCCACAUACUACAAGGCGGAGUUCUACAAAAUGUACAGACUGCAAACCUGUAUGCAGUGUGGAGACGUAUUCAAAAAUUGCAUUCCAGGAUAUGUAGGUCGUGGAAUAAGGGGGGAACUCAUAAAAAUCAUUAGCGAAGACACCCACCCAGACUUCUGCAGCGAGUUCUGCCAAAUCUGUGCUGAACUUAUUUGAGUGUUGUGUGCAUGUAGUGCCAUAGAUAUAAACUCCAUACCUUUCAGUGACAACUCAAUUUUUUAAGGUCAAACUAGGUGGGUGGGGGGUCUUAC